CCUACGGGAGGCAGCAGUAGGGAAUCUUCCACAAUGGGCGCAAGCCUGAUGGAGCAACACCGCGUGAGUGAAGAAGGGUUUCGGCUCGUAAAGCUCUGUUGUUGGAGAAGACCGUGCGUGAGAGUAACUGUUCACGCAGUGACGGUAUCCAACCAGAAAGUCACGGCUAACUACGUGCCAGCAGCCGCGGUAAUACGUAGGUGGCAAGCGUUAUCCGGAUUUAUUGGGCGUAAAGCGAGCGCAGGCGGUUGCUUAGGUCUGAUGUGAAAGCCUUCGGCUUAACCGAAGAAGUGCAUCGGAAACCGGGCAACUUGAGUGCAGAAGAGGACAGUGGAACUCCAUGUGUAGCGGUGGAAUGCGUAGAGAUAUGGAAGAACACCAGUGGCGAAGGCGGCUGUCUGGUCUGCAACUGACGCUGAGGCUCGAAAGCAUGGGUAGCGAACAGGAUUAGAUACCCCAGUAGUC
rnacentral:rRNA from 1 species